rnacentral:rRNA from 1 species
UAGGGAAUUGUCGGCAAUGGGCGAAAGCCUGACCGCGCGACGCCGCGUGAAGGAAGAAGGUCUUCGGAUUGUAAACUUCUUUUAUGAGGGAAGAUUAUGACGGUACCUCAUGAAUAAGGGCCUGCUAACUACGUGCCAGCAGCAGCGGUAAUACGUAGGGCCCAAGCAUUAUCCGGAAUUACUGGGCGUAAAGAGUGCGUAGGUGUUCUUAUAAGUCGGUCGUUAAAUCUCAGAGCUUAACUCUGAGGCUGCGAGCGAUACUAUAGGAAUUGAGUCUUUCAGGGGCAAGCAGAAUUCUUGGAGUAGGGGUGAAAUCCGUUGAUACCAAGAGGAAUACCAAUGGCGAAGGCAGCUUGCUAGGAGAUGACUGACACUGAGGCACGAAAGCGUGGGGAGCAAACGGG